AGAGUUUGAUCAUGGCUCAGAUUGAACGCUGGCGGCAGGCCUAACACAUGCAAGUCGAACGGUAACAGGAAGAAGCUUGCUUCUUUGCUGACGAGUGGCGGACGGGUGAGUAAUGUCUGGGAAACUGCCUGAUGGAGGGGGAUAACUACUGGAAACGGUAGCUAAUACCGCAUAACGUCGCAAGACCAAAGAGGGGGACCUUCGGGCCUCUUGCCAUCGGAUGUGCCCAGAUGGGAUUAGCUAGUAGGUGGGGUAACGGCUCACCUAGGCGACGAUCCCUAGCUGGUCUGAGAGGAUGACCAGCCACACUGGAACUGAGACACGGUCCAGACUCCUACGGGAGGCAGCAGUGGGGAAUAUUGCACAAUGGGCGCAAGCCUGAUGCAGCCAUGCCGCGUGUAUGAAGAAGGCCUUCAGGUUGUAAAGUACUUUCAGCGGGGAGGAAGGGAGUAAAGUUAAUACCUUUGCUCAUUGACGUUACCCGCAGAAGAAGCACCGGCUAACUCCGUGCCAGCAGCCGCGGUAAUACGGAGGGUGCAAGCGUUAAUCGGAAUUACUGGGCGUAAAGCGCACGCAGGCGGUUUGUUAAGUCAGAUGUGAAAUCCCCGGGCUCAACCUGGGAACUGCAUCUGAUACUGGCAAGCUUGAGUCUCGUAGAGGGGGGUAGAAUUCCAGGUGUAGCGGUGAAAUGCGUAGAGAUCUGGAGGAAUACCGGUGGCGAAGGCGGCCCCCUGGACGAAGACUGACGCUCAGGUGCGAAAGCGUGGGGAGCAAACAGGAUUAGAUACCCUGGUAGUCCACGCCGUAAACGAUGUCGACUUGGAGGUUGUGCCCUUGAGGCGUGGCUUCCGGAGCUAACGCGUUAAGUCGACCGCCUGGGGAGUACGGCCGCAAGGUUAAAACUCAAAUGAAUUGACGGGGGCCCGCACAAGCGGUGGAGCAUGUGGUUUAAUUCGAUGCAACGCGAAGAACCUUACCUGGUCUUGACAUCCACGGAAGUUUUCAGAGAUGAGAAUGUGCCUUCGGGAACCGUGAGACAGGUGCUGCAUGGCUGUCGUCAGCUCGUGUUGUGAAAUGUUGGGUUAAGUCCCGCAACGAGCGCAACCCUUAUCCUUUGUUGCCAGCGGUCCGGCCGGGAACUCAAAGGAGACUGCCAGUGAUAAACUGGAGGAAGGUGGGGAUGACGUCAAGUCACCAUGGCCCUUACGACCAGGGCUACACACGUGCUACAAUGGCGCAUACAAAGAGAAGCGACCACGCGAGAGCAAGCGGACCUCAUAAAGUGCGUCGUAGUCCGGAUUGGAGUCUGCAACUCGACUCCAUGAAGUCGGGAUCGCUAGUAAUCGUGGAUCAGAAUGCCACGGUGAACACGUUCCCGGGCCUUGUACACACCGCCCGUCACACCAUGGGAGUGGGUUGCAAAAGAAGUAGGUAGCUUAACCUUCGGGAGGGCGCUUACCACUUUGUGAUUCAUGACUGGGGUGAAGUCGUAACAAGGUAACCGUAGGGGAACCUGCGGUUG
rnacentral:rRNA from 1 species